rnacentral:sRNA from 1 species
AUAUAGAUUUUAUCCACACUUGUAUUGAUGGUAUUUCAUGCAUUUAAUUCUAAAGAAGUCUUGAGAUUUAUGAACCAUAGACUGUGGUAGUUCUAGACUAGGCUCAUUAUGUCAGUGUGUGUUCAUAGUCAAGCAUAACAUUAUAUUGUAUAGAGUGACAACCCUUGGCUGUCAGGGGACGAUAACAAACACCAGGCUGUGAUUUGAUCUAGUAUUUAUUUAUUCACUUGAAAUCAUUGAAAAAUGUGUUUCACUAAUUUUGUGUGGAUUAUCUCAUCUUGUUCCUUUACUUAAAGCUACAUUUUUGUUUGAACUUUAAGUCCACAUCAAAAUAGUAGAACAUCUAGGUAUAGGAUUCAUCGUUAUUAAAUCUUCUUUAGUUGAGAUGUUUGGCUGUGUGGAAUUAGCUUCUGUCUGUUGUAAUGAUCCUAACCCUACCAGCUUUCAAACCCUGGCCAGGGCUAGGACAUGCAUUUGAAACUUACAAUGACAGCAUAGUUAUAACUAAUGACAUUAUUAGAUUUCUCAGUAGUAUUAUUGUUUUUCCAUUUGAUAGGAAACACAGAUAUCAAUAUCUAUUUCUUGUAUAAAUGUUUGGUUUUAGGAAGUCAGCAGCCACACCGUGGGGUGUUAUAUCUUGGACUCUGCAUAUGUCAAUCACAUGCAUAUGUCAAUCACAUCAAUGGUCAUUAAAUUCUGGGUGGCAAAAUGAUUAAGUGAAUAUAAUCUAGUCUUAACUAUUUUGUUAUUUAUUGAACAUCAAUGCAAGUAUUUACUGUGAGACUUGUAUACUUCCUACUGCUGUCUAGCUUAUUACAUAUUAUCAUUUCUCUUUAUUUCCUUGCCAUUUGGUUGUUGUGUAUAUAUUUUUUUUUAUAUUUGUGGAUUACUUUUCUUUUUUCUCAUUAAUUCAAUUUGUCUCCCUUGUAAGCUUUGAUCAAUUAUUAAAACAAUAAAACCUUUUUUAUACCAGGGACAUAAUAUCACAUGCUACUAUUAGAAAUAUAUCUUGAUAUUAAAUUCAAUUUCUGCCAUCCAAGUUUGAUACACUAUAAACUAUGUACUAUGCUAUUCACUAACCUACUAGGAUGUAUCAACUAAGAGCAGUAACUUUAACUACUUUAAAUUUAUAUUGUUGGAAUGAAAAGGAACAAGCCUCUUAUCCAAUGUUACCAACUAACGGUAGUAAAUUUCUACCCAGGUAGAUACAUUCAUGUCUUGCUAGGGCUCCAACUUUCUGUGCUGACAUUCAUAUCUUGCUAGGGCUCCAACUUUCUGUGCUGACAUUCAUGUCUUGCUAGGGCUACAACUUUCUGUGCUGACAUUCAUAUCUUGCUAGGGCUACAACUUUCUGUGCUGACAUUCAUAUCUUGCUAGGGCUACAACUUUCUGUGCUGACAUUCAUAUCUUGCUAGGGCUACAACUUUCUGUGCUGACAAAGUUGUUAAUUGUGUAAUUGUUCAACUGUAUCUCACAACUAGCUGAUGUCUUGUACAUGCAUAACACCUGAAUACUAUGGAGUGGUAUAUUUUGUCUACCUCAUUAUGUUUUGAGUUUGCUUCCAUUUUGUUGUUUCCUUGGCUUCAUUUCCCAGACAUUGCCAGACAAAAUAGGUUCCAUUUCCCAGACAUCACCAGGUCACUUAGAUUCCAUUUUCUAGCCAUCACCAGACUACAUAGAUUUCACUUCCCAGCCAUCACCAGACCACAUAGAUUCCGUUUCAAAGCCAUCACCAGACCACAUAGAUUCCGUUUCCCAGACAUCAUCAGACCACAUAGAGUUCCAUUUCCCAGACAUUGCCAGACCACAUAGAUUCCGUUUCCCAGACAUCACCAGGUCACUUAGAUUCCAUUUUCUAGCCAUCACCAGACCACAUAGGGUUCCAUUUCAAAGCCAUCACCAGGCCACAUAGAUUCCAUUUCCCAGCCAUCACCAGACCACAUAGAUUUUACUUCCCAGCCAUCACCAGGCCACAUAGAUUCCAUUUCCCAGCCAUCACCAGGCCACAUAGAUUCCAUUUCCCAGCCAUCACCAGGCCACAUAGAUUCCAUUUCCCAGCCAUCACCAGGCCACAUAGGUUCAGAACUUUCAUUUUUUUCUUCAGUACUAGAGUGUACUUGUCAUUUCAACUACCAACUAUUUCCAUUGCUAGGGAACCUAGUUUUAACAUGCCACAGGGAAUAACUGCUGAGGAAAACAUUUUUCUAUUAUUUCAGCAAGCAGUGAAUUAUUCUCUAGUGAUGACUUCUGGUGUAAUCAAAUAUUUGUCACUGAAUUUAAGAUGACUGGUAAAGACACAUUAUAGUGUCAGCUUCUCUGAAAUCUUGAAAAACAAGAGAGGUCUUUUUAUUCUGAAGAGGACAAGAGAAUGUAAUUACACUAUUGCGGUUUGAUCUAUUUCUAGUAAGUUAGCUUCUGUCUAACUCUACCAGUACUUGAAUAUAUUUUAACUAAUCAUAUUGUGCAUAAUUCAAUCAUUAUUUUGUGUGUGCUAAAAAAAAAGUUCCAUUUCUUUCCUUGCUGAGUAUUCUCUGAAGAGUUAAAAAGAGUUCUGUGUUUAUAGCAGUGGACUAAAAGAGAUUACUUGAUGUCUAUCUAAUGCUGUUGAUUUCUUCUCCUGACUAUUGGAGGAAACAAACAUUGGACAGAGCUGAAGUUAUUGCUGAUUAUUUGACCUUUUUUUUCAUUGCUGAUUAUUUGACCUUUUUUUUUCAUUGCUGAUUAUUUGACCUUUUUUUUUUUGUUCAAUGCUUCUUCAUUUAGCUCCAUCCCACUAGACAAAUGGCUGCAGUCCAUUGGCUGAGAGCUGUGAAUGUGAUAUUUAUUCCUAACAAACAAUGAACAUUUUAAUGUAUUUAUUUUGAAUGUGUCCUAACAUUCUAACAGAAAUAGAAUGGACAAUAUUUAUGUCAACACUGGAGUGUGGAGCAGUGAGUGGCUUGAAUGAGAAGGAUGUUUACUGUAUUUGUCAAGUCAAGAAGAAUAUGUUCAUGAUAUUAAACUAUUUUAUUUUAUAUUUGUAUUUCCCUGCUGAGAAGUUCUGUCUAUUGUUUUUAGCUUCAUCCAUUGUUCAACCAACAAUGAGCAUCUCCUCGUGGAGACAUACUAGUAAUGGCCCAUCAUGAACAUCAUUGUAUUGAUGAAAUCACAGAGUUGGAGACUGUGUUGAUAGUGAGCUGUCUAACCAUCUAACUCUAACAGUUUGAUCUUAGAGACUGUGUGAAUGACUAGUAAAGUAGUGUGACAUAUAUAAUUUAUUCAUCUUGACCUCCUGUCAGCACAAACUAAUGAAACUGAUGAAAUAAAUAAAGUAUUUCAUUUAA